GAUGAACGCUGGCGGCAUGCUUAACACAUGCAAGUCAAUGGCGAAGCUGCGCUUGCGCAGUGUAGCCAAGGCGGACGGGUGAGUAAAGCGUAAGGAACUUGCCUGGCAGACAGGGAUAACAGACGGAAACGACUGAUAACACCUGGUACUGCCAGGCUGGCGCAUGCGGGGCUGAUGAAAGCAGACGCUGCAGGAGUGCCCUGCGUCCUAUUAGCUAGUUGGUGGGGUAACGGCCCACCAAGGCGAUGAUCGGUAGCAGGCCUGAGAGGGUGAACGGCCACGAGGGGACUGAGAUGCGGCCGUUACGCCUACGGGAGGCAGCAGUGGGGAAUAAUGGACAAUGGGCGCGACCCUGAUGCAGCACUUCUGUGUGCACGAAGAAGUUUUUCGGAGUGUAAAGUGGUUACAGCAGACAAGAAGAAAGUGACGUUACCUGCAGAAGAAGCGACGGCUAACUACGUG
rnacentral:rRNA from 1 species